rnacentral:lncRNA from 1 species
ACAUCAUACCAUACGUACAUACACAGUACCCCACCGCCCAACUUCAUCUUCCUCGCUGAAAAUCAGCAAUCAGCAGCAGCGACCCCACCCCAUACUUGCCUUCGUCUUCUUCACGCUAAAUCAACCCGGAAAUUGCGUCUCUUACCUUGCCAGAACCCAUACCCUGCAUACCCAUCACCCUCACGUCCCCUUUCCCUCAUUUUAAGGGAUUUUUUCAAAGCUUUUUACUGUUGUCUUGAAAAGGGGCAGAUUGAAUUCAAAUUUGGAAUUCAAUAUUUCACACGAUUUCCCCCUAAUUUCCAUCUAUAUAUUUAUCUAUUUUAGUCACUGUAAGGGGAGUUCUUUUUUUUUAGAAGUUGGAGUUUUCAGCAAAUAAGCACUUUACACUUUAGAAUUUCGCAUUUAAUCCUUCGAUUCUAAGUUCCGAUUCUCUUGGCUUGCUGUCCGUAUUAAGAUUUCGUGGUAGAAGAAUCGCUUCUCUCAAACUCAUUCGUUCCAGUCGCUGCCCUUUUAAAGGUAAACUUUCAUCGUCUUAUUUAAAUUCUUGUAUAUUCUUGAUAUAUUGAUUAUUUUGUUAUUGUUGUUAGCUGAUUACCCCGUUUUCCUUCUUAUUGAGCAGUUCGAUUUUUUUAAUUUUUUUUUUGUAAAUCUGAUUCUGUUUGUUUUUAAGUAUGUGAAUCUCCAUUUUGAUCAGCUUUUAUUUUGGCGUUUAAAGCGUCGGUAUUGGUAUGUUGUUUGCGAUUUUUCUCGUAUAGGAGAUACUAUGGUUUGAGUUUAUUUGUUGUAUCCUUUGUUGUGCCGAAGUUUCAAUUCUUAGCUUGGAUUUUAGUCACCCAUUUCGUAGAAUCCGUUUUGCCUCGUGUUGAUUUUCACCUUCUAUUCGUAUUCUAGUGUACUAUCUGAUAUGUCAGUUUAGCUUUGGGAUAUAGCUUCUCAUUAUGCACAUGAUUCAUGUCCUAAUCUUUAUGUUUGAUCAAAUUUUAUUCCAUCUAAUUUACAUCAUGAUGAGAGCAAUAUGUGAUAUAUGUUUGAUACGAUAAAUAUUGUAAUCCAUGUCGUGGUUAUUUUUGUUCAUGUUGGCAGUGUUUUUGGUCCAUGUAGUUUCUUUAUUCUGGUGUCAAUUGGCAUCCUUUGGUUGGUGGUUCUUUGGUUCAAAAUUUCAAUAUUAUUCAAGCAUAAAUCUGGCCAAGAAUAAGGAUGGCUAUCUCUGCCCCUUUCUCAUUGUCAAUCUAGUUAAAAAUAAAAAUAAAUAGCCUAUCUUAUCUUGUUGUUAGAGCUCUUUGUUAUUCUCAUCUCAUAUGUACAAGAGAGCCAAGUACAAUUUGUAUUUAAAAUAUAUAUAUAUAUAUAUAUAUAUAUAUAUAUAUAUAUAUAUAUAUAUAUAUAUAU